rnacentral:lncRNA from 1 species
AUUUUUCGAGCGAAUUAGCGCCUGACUUUUAUGCAUAUUUAAUUGUUUUAUUUUUUGUUUCUAUGUUUAAAUUUUCAGAUUAAAUAACUACAGUUUUAUUUAAUAUUGAUUAAGAUUUUAAUAGACAUUUUUCUUUACUAAUAAUUUAUAAUAAUUAGUUUUAAGGGAAUGUGACAGCUAUUUUAAGUCUCUUUCACCUCACUACACACACAUAAUCACUCACCUACCACUACGUCUCAAAAUCUCUCUCACAUUAACGGUUACAAAGAAAAUAAAUUAAAGAGCGC